rnacentral:rRNA from 1 species
AUUAGUUUUUUAAUUGAAGGCUAGAAUGAAUGGUUGGACAAGAAAUAAUCUGUCUUAAAUAAAUAUAUUGAAUUUAACUUUUAAGUGAAAAGGCUUAAAUAAUCUGAAGGGACGAUAAGACCCUAUAAAACUUUAUAUUUAUAAGUAGUAGUUAGUUUUAUUUAAAAAUAUUAUAUUAAAAUAUUUGGUUGGGGUGACAAGGAUAAAAUAUAAAAUAACUGUUCUUUUUUUUUUUACAGUAAUGUUUGAUUUAAUGAUCCUAAAAAGGAUUAAAAGAUUAAGUUACUUUAGGGAUAACAGCGUAAUUUUCUUUAAGAGUUCUUAUCGACAAGAAAGUUUGCGACCUCGAUGUUGAAUUAAAAGUUCUUUAUAGAGUAGAGACUAUAAUAGAAGGUCUGUUCGACCUUUAAAAUUUUACAUGAUUUGAGUUCAGACCGGUGUGAG